rnacentral:rRNA from 1 species
UACGUAGGGUGCAAGCGUUGUUCGGAAUCAUUGGGCGUAAAGCGCGUGUAGGUGGCUAGUUAUGUCGGGUGUGAAAGCCCUGGGCUCAACCGAGGAAGUGCAUUCGAAACUAGCUGGCUAGAAGAUGGUAGAGGAAGGUGGAAUUCCAAGUGUAGAGGUGAAAUUCGUAGAUAUUUGGAGGAAUACCGGCGGCGAAGGCGGCCUUCUGGGCCAUUCUUGACACUGAGACGCGAAAGCGUGGGGAGCAAACAGG